GACGAACGCUGGCGGCGUGCCUAAUACAUGCAAGUAGAACGCAGUUGCGAACGGGUGAGUAACGCGUAGGUAACUGCCUCAUAGCGGGGGAUAACUACUGGAAACGGUAGCUAAUACCGCAUACCAUCGGAUGUGCCCAGCUGGGAUUAGCUAGUGGGUGGGGUAACGGCUCACCUAGGCGCCGAUCCCUAGCUGGUCUGAGAGGAUGACAAGCAAAACUGGGACGUAGACACGGCCCAGACUCCUACGGGAGGCAGCAGGAGGGAAUCUUCGGCAAUGGACGGAAGUCUGACCGAGCAACGCCGCGUGAGUGAAGAAGGUUUUCGGGUCGUAAAGCUCUGUUGUUAGAGAAGCGGUAACUAACCAGAAAGGGACGGCUAACUACGUGCCAGCCGCCGCGGUAAUUC
rnacentral:rRNA from 1 species